GACGAACGCUGGCGGCGUGCUUAACACAUGCAAGUCGAACGGAAAGGCCCUGCUUUUGUGGGGUGCUCGAGUGGCGAACGGGUGAGUAACACGUGAGUAACCUGCCCUUGACUUUGGGAUAACUUCAGGAAACUGGGGCGAAUACCGGAUAGGAGCUCCUGCUGCAUGUGGGGGGUUGGAAAGUUUCGGCGGUUGUGGAUGGACUCGCGGCUUAUCAGCUUGUUGGUGGGGUAGUGGCUUACCAAGGCUUUGACGGGUAGCCGGCCUGAGAGGGUGACCGGCCACAUUGGGACUGAGAUACGGCCCAGACGCCUACGGGAGGCAGCAGUGGGGAAUAUUGCACAAUGGGCGGAAGCCUGAUGCAGCAACGCCGCGUGCGGGAUGACGGCCUUCGGGUGGUAAACCGCUUUCGCCUGUGACGAAGCGUGAGUGACGGUAAUGGGUAAAGAAGCACCGGCUAACUACGUG
rnacentral:rRNA from 1 species